GCNNNGGGCUACNNUAUNACNCAUGCNCGUCGAGCGGGGAANAGUAGCUUGCUACUUUACCAUAGCGGCGGACGGGUGAGUAAUGCUUAGGAAUCUGCCUAUUAGUGGGGGACAACAUCUCGAAAGGGAUGCUAAUACCGCAUACGUCCUACGGGAGAAAGCAGGGGACCUUCGGGCCUUGCGCUAAUAGAUGAGCCUAAGUCGGAUUAGCUAGUUGGUGGGGUAAAGGCCUACCAAGGCGACGAUCUGUAGCGGGUCUGAGAGGAUGAUCCGCCACACUGGGACUGAGACACGGCCCAGACUCCUACGGGAGGCAGCAGUGGGGAAUAUUGGACAAUGGGGGGAACCCUGAUCCAGCCAUGCCGCGUGUGUGAAGAAGGCCUUUUGGUUGUAAAGCACUUUAAGCGAGGAGGAGGCUACCGAGAUUAAUACUCUUGGAUAGUGGACGUUACUCGCAGAAUAAGCACCGGCUAACUCUGUGCCAGCAGCCGCGGUAAUACAGAGGGUGCAAGCGUUAAUCGGAUUUACUGGGCGUAAAGCGCGCGUAGGUGGCCAAUUAAGUCAAAUGUGAAAUCCCCGAGCUUAACUUGGGAAUUGCAUUCGAUACUGGUUGGCUAGAGUAUGGGAGAGGAUGGUAGAAUUCCAGGUGUAGCGGUGAAAUGCGUAGAGAUCUGGAGGAAUACCGAUGGCGAAGGCAGCCAUCUGGCCUAAUACUGACACUGAGGUGCGAAAGCAUGGGGAGCAAACAGGAUUAGAUACCCUGGUAGUCCAUGCCGUAAACGAUGUCUACUAGCCGUUGGGGCCUUUGAGGCUUUAGUGGCGCAGCUAACGCGAUAAGUAGACCGCCUGGGGAGUACGGUCGCAAGACUAAAACUCAAAUGAAUUGACGGGGGCCCGCACAAGCGGUGGAGCAUGUGGUUUAAUUCGAUGCAACGCGAAGAACCUUACCUGGUCUUGACAUAGUAAGAACUUUCCAGAGAUGGAUUGGUGCCUUCGGGAACUUACAUACAGGUGCUGCAUGGNUGUCGUCAGCUCGUG
rnacentral:rRNA from 1 species